rnacentral:rRNA from 1 species
UCGAGAAUUUUUCUCAAUGGGGGAAACCCUGAAGGAGCGACGCCGCGUGGAGGAUGAAGGUCUUCGGAUUGUAAACUCCUGUCAUUGGUGAACAAAGCCCUCGGAGUAACUGCCGUUGGGUUUGAUAGUAGCCGAAGAGGAAGGGACGGCUAACUCUGUGCCAGCAGCCGCGGUAAUACAGAGGUCCCAAGCGUUGUUCGGAUUCAUUGGGCGUAAAGGGUGCGUAGGCGGCGAGGCAAGUCUGGUGUGAAAUCCCGGGGCUCAACCCCGGAACUGCACUGGAUACUGCCUUGCUAGAGUACUGGAGAGGGAACUGGAAUUUACGGUGUAGCAGUGAAAUGCGUAGAUAUCGUAAGGAAGACCAGUGGCGAAGGCGAGUUCCUGGACAGUUACUGACGCUGAGGCACGAAGGCCAGGGGAGCAAACG